rnacentral:rRNA from 1 species
UGCUCCCUGGGUGACGAGCGGCGGACGGGUGAGUAAUGUCUGGGAAACUGCCUGAUGGAGGGGGAUAACUACUGGAAACGGUAGCUAAUACCGCAUAACGUCGCAAGACCAAAGAGGGGGACCUUCGGGCCUCUUGCCAUCAGAUGUGCCCAGAUGGGAUUAGCUAGUAGGUGGGGUAAUGGCUCACCUAGGCGACGAUCCCUAGCUGGUCUGAGAGGAUGACCAGCCACACUGGAACUGAGACACGGUCCAGACUCCUACGGGAGGCAGCAGUGGGGAAUAUUGCACAAUGGGCGCAAGCCUGAUGCAGCCAUGCCGCGUGUGUGAAGAAGGCCUUCGGGUUGUAAAGCACUUUCAGCGAGGAGGAAGGUGGUGAGCUUAAUACGUUCAUCAAUUGACGUUACUCGCAGAAGAAGCACCGGCUAACUCCGUGCCAGCAGCCGCGGUAAUA